AUGACUCGCUCACGGAACUCGCUAGUUGAGUUUGGAAAUUUUGGGGUGGAUUCCUGAGCUUGGAGUGACCUGUUAUCUGGCUUGCCCGGGACCAAAGGCUUUCUGGGACAUGGAAGUUUCACUGCUGAAGUGAGGACAGUCCUAGGCAGAUGGAACCAGUUGGUGAAGGCCCCCUAUGGUGGCUGUCUGUGCCCAGAAGCUCCAUCAUGUUGAUUGGCCAGUGGCCAGCCAAUCAGAGGCUUCCCUGGGAUUCUUCUCUUGUAGUUGCUGGGUCAUGCUGUCUCUUGCCUCCAGCUCACAGACCAGGAUGAUGGUGACUUAUCUGCAAUUGAGCCCACGUUCUCUCUGUCUCUGGGGAAGGAAAGAGCCCAGGCAGAGACCCACAUGGGUGCAUGUGUGCUCCUGGGAGUCUGAAAGUCCACCCACCUGCCCUCAGCCACCUCUUGUCACUGAGAGGGCCAGGAUAAGGGAUGCUGGGAGGGUGGAAGGAAGCGUGGUGUGUCCAGGCCUGAGGCAGGGCCCCGUGUUCCACUCCGCUGGGCAGAGAACUUGCUACCUGAGGUGCCUGUUCGGGAAGAAGGAGCUGAGAAGAAGGCUUUAAAAAUGCAUGCAAGAAGUAAGCAACAGCCACAAACAAAACAAAAUAACUCCUGCUUCUAGGCCGGUUUUCUCUGGGUUUCCAGAAGGUGACAAUGACCUCCAUCCCUUGCAAAUCGGGAGGAGGACGCUGUGAGAUCUGCUUUCCCCGCAGUGUCCUCGGGCCUGCAGACUUGAUUAAGAUAUUAAACAGCACACGGGUGAGCCGGGUCUCCCGGGGAGCUGCCUCUGCUGGAGUCCUCAGCCUGAUGCAAGCGCCUCCAAUCCAGGGGUGCCGAAGGCUCUAUGGGAAUGAUCUGCCUCCUGAGAUAUAAAUUCCAAUUUACUGUGACACAAACGAUUACCCUGCAAACACUGGUCAUCCGUCUUCAGGUACCUGGGGGAUGUUCUGGCUGGUGUUAUUAUCUCCUGGAAAUUAAAAUGGCCCG
rnacentral:lncRNA from 1 species